rnacentral:rRNA from 1 species
CUUGGUGAUUUUCGCGGUAGGGGUACACCCGGUCACAUCCCGAACCCGGAAGUUAAGUCUACCAGCGCCGAUGGUACUUGGGGGGCAGCCCCCUGGGAGAGUAGGUCAUUGCCAAGA